rnacentral:rRNA from 1 species
CGGCGGACGGGUGAGUAACACGCGGAUAACCUACCUAUAAGACUGGGAUAACUUCGGGAAACCGGAGCUAAUACCGGAUAAUAUAUUGAACCGCAUGGUUCAAUAGUGAAAGACGGUUUUGCUGUCACUUAUAGAUGGAUCCGCGCCGCAUUAGCUAGUUGGUAAGGUAACGGCUUACCAAGGCAACGAUGCGUAGCCGACCUGAGAGGGUGAUCGGCCACAUUGGAACUGAGACACGGUCCAG